CUAAUUAAAAUGUGAUCCAGUUCACGGGCCUGAUUCUAACACUAACUAGCAUGUGAUUGAGUUCACGGGCCUGAUUCUAACACUAAUUAAAUGUGAUUGAGUUCACGGGCCUAAUUAUAACACUAAGUAAAAUGUGAUUGAGUUCACGGGCCUGAUUCUAACACUAAUUAGGAUAUGCUCCAGUUCAGGGGGCUGACUCUAACACUAAUUAGGAUGUGAUUAAGAUCACAGGCCUCUAAUUAGAAUUAUAGCAUUAUUAUUUAUUUCCACAAAUCACAUUUUCAUACAACUCUUUAUAGUGAAAUGUUACACACAUCUAUUUUGAUUUAAAUCGUAUCAUUGAUUAUUCAUCUAUAACUUAGACUUUUGAAAUAGUUUAUUAUACCCCCCGCAACAAGUUGUGGGGGGGGGGGGGGUAUACUGGAAUCGGGUUGUCCGUCUGUCUGUCCGUCCGUCUGUCCGUCCGUCUGUAGACGCAAUGGUUUCCGGGCUCUAAAGCAUUAUCCUUUCCACCUACCGUUACCAUAUCAUAUAUAUGAACUACCCAUGGGAUGAAGAUGUUCCCUAUCGAUUUUGGGGUCAAAAGGUCAAAGGUCACGCGCACUGGACAUCAAAGUAGCAAUAUGGUUUCCAUUUAAAUUCUUUAACGGCUUUUUUCAUCGCAUGGAGAUGCUGUGUUCCUAGAUACCUUUUGGAUCAUAAUAUUGAAGUUUUACCUAUAUAUUUCCAACACCCUUUAGGAGAUUGGGGUAAGCGGGGGGUAUUCUUAGUGAGCAUUGCUCACAGUACCUCUUGUUUUAACAGUUUUUUGUUUUUUUUUACAAUAACUAUCGGAAAAGACUAACAAAAUUUAUGUUCCUAUCAUGCAUAAAUCUAAAUAAAUCAUUGAUUUUGCAAAAUCUGAUGACAUCAUAGGAGGGUGGAAUUACUUUAAGUUAUGUUUAGUGCUGUGUGUAUAUAAACAUGCACUCAUAUAAUUAUAUCUUCCCUCUUCCAGGGGGAGACAUAUUGUAUUUGUACUUUCUGUCCGUCCUUCCUUCUGUCACAAAAUCUUGUGAACGCUUCUCCACCUAUAUGGCUUAUCAGAUAGACUUGAAACUUUGUACAAUGCUUCAUUGUCAUUUACAGAUGUGAAUAUUGUUGGGACGGGAGGAUCCAAUUGUUUUCCUAAGAGUUAUAGUGGAUCUAAGAGGGGUGGAAGAUGUAAAAUAGCUUAUGAACUCUUCUCCUCCCAUAUGGCUUAUUGGAUAGACUUGAAACUUUGUACAAUGCUUAAUUGUCAUUUGUAGAUGUGCAUAUUGUCGGAAUGGGAGGAUCCAAAGUUUUUCCUAAAAGAUAUAGUGGAUCUAAAAGGGGUGGAGGAUGUUAAAAUACCUUGUGAACACUUCUCCUAUAUGGCUUAUCUGAUAGACUUGAGAAUUUGUACAAUGCUUCAAUGCCAUUUGUAGAUGUGUAAGUUGUAGGGACAGGAGGAUCCAAUUGCUAUCCUUAAAGUUAAAGUGGAUCUGAGGGGUGUAGGGUAUAAAAUAGUUUGUGAACGCUUCUCCUCCUAUAUGGCUUAUCAGAGUUCAUGUCUAUCUUCCUGCCCAUGCUUUCUCCUUCAUACUAUUCAAUACAUUAAGGGGGAUGUUUCCUAUAUUUUACGAAUUAAUUGGUUGAUUGACAACAAACUUGGUACACUUGUACAGCAUAUAUAAGGAGUAGAUGACCCCUAUUGAUUCUUAGGUCACAUGGUCAGUCCACUCUUGACAUAGGAAGGUAUUGUCUGCUCAAUAUUUUGAAUUGGUGAUACUACUAUCAAUUAAAUGAGGCACGGGUAUAACCCUUUCAAUUUUGCAACUUGGGGGCAUAUGUGUUUUAGAAACAUCUCUUGUGUUGUAUUAUAUGAAUUACAGGUUUUAGUGUGCUCAGUUUAGAGAAUAGCAUAAAAGUAUUUGAUAAUUAAAUAUCUUGCAGAUUGGCAGUUUACUCCAUGCACCGACAGGAAUGAUAAACUGUGAUAUUCGUAAAUGGAACUGGGACACGUUCUAAAUAUACUCAGGGACAGAAUGAUGUGCAGCAAGGCUCGUCAUGGAUUUUACCAAAUACAGAACACUGCAAGGCUUGCAAAAUGAAGACCUCAGUAAAAAAAAUUCUAAAUUAUCCACUAAUGGCAGCUCACUACCUGCCCCUAGUGAUGUUAAAAGAGGCCGUUGUUCUCAUUUGUUCCAAAACAGGAAUGGCAUAUGAGGAGGCCAACAGAAGAUGCACCUCCACUGACCUCCACUGAGUGUGCACUCACAAAACGAAUAAAUUAUUAUUAUUUCUUUUGUUUGUAAUUGUAUAUUGUCAACAAGGUCAAAGGCACUUGAUCCGAUGCCAAACUUUUGCAUUUCUUUUGCUUUGUGGUAAAUUUUCUUCAGCAACAUUAACAUUGUUUAAAUUGUUUUCUUUGGAGAGUAUACAUGUACACAUGGAUCAUUUGUAUAUUAGAAUUAUAGCAUUGUUUAAUUCAACUCAUUCUUAUCCUAGAGAGGUUAUUAUAUACUGCAGGCAACGACUUGUAAAGGGUAUACUGUUUUAACUCACGUGCAAGGCAAGGCAGUAUUAUGAAACUCUGUAGUUGAUAAGGACAUAUAUCACAUAUCGAUAUGCAUAUUUACAGGAAACUCUGAUGUAUUUUAAAUCUGAACGUUAAUUUAAAAGUGGGGAGAAAUAGCAUUGGAUGAAAAAAGACACAUAUGAAGAAAAUUAUUCCAUACGUAAAUACUUUUUAGCUCACCUGAGCUGAAAGCUCAAGUGAGCUUUUCUGAUCGCCUGUUGUUCAUUGUCUGUCCGUGAUUAAACAUUUUAUAUUUUCUCCAGAAGCAAUGGGCCAAUAAUAACCAAACUUAGCCAAAAGUAUCCUUGGGUAAAGGUCUUUCGAGUUUGUUCAAAUGAAGGGCCAUGCCCUCUUCAAAGGGGAGAUGACCACAAAAAUAGGGUGGGUCAUUUAAUUUUUUUUAUCAAGAACCACUGGGCCAGAAGAGCUAAAAUGUACAUGAAAGCUUCUUGACAUAGUACAGAUUCAAGUUUAUUGAAAUCAUGGCCUCCAGGGGUUGUAUGGGGCCACAAUAGAGAAUCAAAGUUUUACAUACAAUUAUUCAGGAAAAAUCUUUCAAUAUGAGCCAAGGUGGCUCAGGUGAGCGAUGUGGCCCAUGGGCCUCUUGUUCAACAUAUAGAAUAAAUACAUGUAGUUAUGUUGUAUUUCCCAUGGAACAUUGAAACGUUUAAUGCGUUUACCAAUUAAUCACUGAAAGAAAGAUAAAAUUGUUGUUUCAUAUGUUUUAUGAAAACUUAAAUUUUUUUUCAUUUCUUUUCAUGAAAGACCCCUUAAUUACCCAGUAAUAUAUAAUCAAUUCUUAACAGAUUAUGUAAAUUUGAUUUAUAUUAAGGAUGUUUGAUCUGAUUACCCAUCAUUAUCAAUCUGUCUAAUAUAGCCAUCAUGUGUUACUAUUGCUACGCAAUCUUGGAGCAUGAGGUAGAAUGCGAGCCAGCUCUUUCAUAAGUACAUGCAUCUGGAAAAUAUAUUUCAAUGUCAAAGGUUACAACAAUGUGAUAAUGUAAUCAUUGUAUGUCUAAGGUCUUGAUAAUAAAACUGUUAUCUGUUCAA